UACGAAGGGGGCUAGCGUUGCUCGGAAUCACUGGGCGUAAAGCGCACGUAGGCGGCUUUCUAAGUCAGGGGUGAAAUCCUGGAGCUCAACUCCAGAACUGCCUUUGAUACUGGGAAGCUUGAGUCCGGAAGAGGUGAGUGGAACUCCGAGUGUAGAGGUGAAAUUCGUAGAUAUUCGGAAGAACACCAGUGGCGAAGGCGGCUCACUGAUCCGGUACUGACGCUGAGGUGCGAAAGCGUGGGGAGCAAACAGG
rnacentral:rRNA from 1 species